GGCGGCGUGCCUAAUACAUGCAAGUAGAACGCUGAAGGAGGAGCUUGCUUCUCUGGAUGAGUUGCGAACGGGUGAGUAACGCGUAGGUAACCUGCCUGGUAGCGGGGGAUAACUAUUGGAAACGAUAGCUAAUACCGCAUAACAGUAGAUGUUGCAUGACAUUUGCUUAAAAGGUGCAAUUGCAUCACUACCAGAUGGACCUGCGUUGUAUUAGCUAGUUGGUGGGGUAACGGCUCACCAAGGCGACGAUACAUAGCCGACCUGAGAGGGUGAUCGGCCACACUGGGACUGAGACACGGCCCAGACUCCUACGGGAGGCAGCAGUAGGGAAUCUUCGGCAAUGGACGGAAGUCUGACCGAGCAACGCCGCGUGAGUGAAGAAGGUUUUCGGAUCGUAAAGCUCUGUUGUAAGAGAAGAACGAGUGUGAGAGUGGAAAGUUCACACUGUGACGUAUCUACCAGAAAGGACG
rnacentral:rRNA from 1 species